rnacentral:rRNA from 1 species
UAGGGAAUAUUGGUCAAUGGAUGCAAGUCUGAACCAGCCAUGCCGCGUGCAGGAAGAAGGCCUUCUGGGUUGUAAACUGCUUUUGUCAGGGGAUAAAAUGGGAGUGCGCUCCUAAUUGAAGGUACCUGGCGAAUAAGCCACGGCUAACUACGUGCCAGCAGCCGCGGUAAUACGUAGGUGGCAAGCGUUGUCCGGAUUUAUUGGGUUUAAAGGGUGCGUAGGCGGCCAAUUAAGUCAGUGCUGAAAUACUCUAGCUUAACUAGAGGGGUGGCAUUGAUACUGAUUGGCUUGAGUGAAGUCGAAGUAGGCGGAAUUGACGGUGUAGCGGUGAAAUGCUUAGAUAUCGUCAAGAACACCGAUAGUGAAGACAGCUUACUAGACUUCAACUGACGCUGAGGCACGAAAGUGUGGGGAUCAAACAGGAUUAGAUACCCUGGUAGUCCACACUGUAAACGUUGAUCACUCGAUGUGUGCGAUAUACAGUACGCGUCUUAGCGCAAGCGAUAAGUAAUCCACCUGGGGAGUACGCCGGCAACGGUGA